UGACAGUUGUUCCAUUUGUUAAAUAUCCCAAUUGUUUAACAGUGUUUUAGGCUGUCAUAGAUGAUAACUGACCAUCUUCACCCUGUAUUUUAUGAGUUGGAAAAAAUAUUGGUUUUGCAAGGUCAUACAAUU